rnacentral:rRNA from 1 species
ACUAUUCCUAGCCCAAACACAUAUAAUCUAAACUAUAAUUUUCAACUUAAAUAAAACAUUUAACAAAAUUAAAGUAUAGGAGAUAGAAAUUUUUAUCUGGAGCUAUAGAAACAGUACCGCAAGGGAAAGAUGAAAGAACAUAAUAAAAGUACAAAAAAGCAAAGAUUAACCCUUUUACCUUUUGCAUAAUGAAUUAACUAGAAAAAACAUAACACAAAGAAUUUUAGCUAUGAACCCCGAAACCAAACGAGCUACCUAAGAACAAUUUUUUGAAUGCACCCGUCUAUGUGGCAAAAUAGUGGGAAGAUUUUUAGGUAGAGGUGAAAAGCCUACCGAGCUUGGUGAUAGCUGGUUACCCAAUAAAUGAAUUUCAGUUCAACUUUAAAUUUACCUAAAGAAAAUUUAAACCUAAUGUAAAUUUAAAAUAUAAUCUAAAGAGGGACAGCUCUUUAGAUAAAGGACACAACCUUAACUAGAGAAUAAAUAUAUAAAUAUUCAUAGUUGGCUUAAAAGCAGCCAUCAAUUAAGAAAGCGUUCAAGCUCAACAUAAACCUUAUAUUAAUUUCCUUAAUAAAAAUGAGUUCCUAGAAAUACAUUGGGUCAAUCUAUAAUAUUAUAGAUGAGAUACUGUUAGUAUGAGUAACAAGAAUAAUUUCUCCUAGCACAAGCUUAUAACAACCCGGAUAACCAUUGUUAGUUAACAAUCAGUAGAAAUAAACCAAAUAUAAAUCCUCUACCCAAUCGAAUGUUAAUCCAACACAGGAGUGCACUAAGGAAAGAUUAAAAGGAAUAAAAGGAACUCGGCAAACACAAACCCCGCCUGUUUACCAAAAACAUCACCUCUAGCAUUACAAGUAUUAGAGGCACAGCCUGCCCAGUGACUAAAGUUAAACGGCCGCGGUAUCCUGACCGUGCAAAGGUAGCAUAAUCAUUUGUUCCUUAAUUAGGGACUAGUAUGAAUGGCUUAACGAGGAUUUAACUGUCUCUUAUUCCUAAUCAGUGAAAUUGACCUACCCGUGAAGAGGCGGGUAUAAAACAAUAAGACGAGAAGACCCUGUGGAGCUUUAAUUUAACAGUCCAUUUUACCUAAACACUCACCUAAUGGCUUAAAAAACAAAAUCUUGGACUGAAUAUUUCGGUUGGGGUGACCUCGGAGAAAAAAAAAUCCUCCGAAUAACAAAACUAAGACCUACAAGUCAAAGUACAUUACAAGUUACUUACUGAUCCAAACAACAUUUGAUCAACGGAACAAGUUACCCCAGGGAUAACAGCGCAAUCCUAUUCUAGAGUCCCUAUCGACAAUAGGGUUUACGACCUCGAUGUUGGAUCAGGACAUCCCAAUGGUGCAGCCGCUAUUAAUGGUUCGUUUGUUCAACGAUUAAAGUCCUACGUGAUCUGAGUUCAGACCGGAGUAAUCCAGGUCGGUUUCUAUCUAUUAACCAUUUCUCCCAGUACGAAAGGACAAGAGAAAUAGGGCCCACUUACCCAAAGCGCCCUAAAACUAAUGAAUGAAAUUAUCUCAAUUCAAAUACCAAGUUUACAUACCCUACCCAAGAUAAGGGUU